rnacentral:rRNA from 1 species
AGAGUUUGAUCCUGGCUCAGGAUGAACGCUGGCGGCGUGCCUAAUACAUGCAAGUCGAACGAGUUCUGAUUAUUGAAAGGUGCUUGCAUCUUGAUUUAAUUUUGAACGAGUGGCGGACGGGUGAGUAACACGUGGGUAACCUGCCCUUAAGUGGGGGAUAACAUUUGGAAACAGAUGCUAAUACCGCAUAAAUCCAAGAACCGCAUGGUUCUUGGCUGAAAGAUGGCGCAAGCUAUCGCUUUUGGAUGGACCCGCGGCGUAUUAGCUAGUUGGUGAGGUAACGGCUCACCAAGGCAAUGAUACGUAGCCGAACUGAGAGGUUGAUCGGCCACAUUGGGACUGAGACACGGCCCAAACUCCUACGGGAGGCAGCAGUAGGGAAUCUUCCACAAUGGACGCAAGUCUGAUGGAGCAACGCCGCGUGAGUGAAGAAGGCUUUCGGGUCGUAAAACUCUGUUGUUGGAGAAGAAUGGUCGGCAGAGUAACUGUUGUCGGCGUGACGGUAUCCAACCAGAAAGCCACGGCUAACUACGUGCCAGCAGCCGCGGUAAUACGUAGGUGGCAAGCGUUAUCCGGAUUUAUUGGGCGUAAAGCGAGCGCAGGCGGUUUUUUAAGUCUGAUGUGAAAGCCCUCGGCUUAACCGAGGAAGUGCAUCGGAAACUGGGAAACUUGAGUGCAGAAGAGGACAGUGGAACUCCAUGUGUAGCGGUGAAAUGCGUAGAUAUAUGGAAGAACACCAGUGGCGAAGGCGGCUGUCUGGUCUGUAACUGACGCUGAGGCUCGAAAGCAUGGGUAGCGAACAGGAUUAGAUACCCUGGUAGUCCAUGCCGUAAACGAUGAAUGCUAGGUGUUGGAGGGUUUCCGCCCUUCAGUGCCGCAGCUAACGCAUUAAGCAUUCCGCCUGGGGAGUACGACCGCAAGGUUGAAACUCAAAGGAAUUGACGGGGGCCCGCACAAGCGGUGGAGCAUGUGGUUUAAUUCGAAGCAACGCGAAGAACCUUACCAGGUCUUGACAUCUUUUGAUCACCUGAGAGAUCAGGUUUCCCCUUCGGGGGCAAAAUGACAGGUGGUGCAUGGUUGUCGUCAGCUCGUGUCGUGAGAUGUUGGGUUAAGUCCCGCAACGAGCGCAACCCUUGUCAUUAGUUGCCAGCAGUAAGAUGGGCACUCUAAUGAGACUGCCGGGGACAACUCGGAGGAAGGUGGGGAUGACGUCAAAUCAUCAUGCCCCUUAUGUUCUGGGCUACACACGUGCUACAAUGGUCGGUACAGAGAGGAAGCGAACUCGUGAGGGGGAGCGAAUCUAUAAAACCGAUCCCAGUUCGGAUUGCAGGCUGCAACUCGCCUGCAUGAAGUCGGAGUUGCUAGUAAUCGCAGAUCAGAAUGCUGCGGUGAAUGCGUUCCCGGGUCUUGUACACACCGCCCGUCGCACCAUGGAAGUUGGGGGCGCCCGAAGUUGGCAGAGAAAUAUGUUACCUAAGGCGAAAUCAAUGACUGGGGUGAAGUCGUAACAAGGUAGCCGUACUAGUA